rnacentral:rRNA from 1 species
GACGUAGGGAGCAAGCGUUGUCCGGAUUUACUGGGCGUAAAGAGCGCGUAGGCGGUCUGUUAAGUGUAGAGUGAAAUCUCCAGGGCUCAACCCGGAAACUGCUCUGCAUACUGGCAGACUUGAGGGACUGAGAGGUGAAUGGAAUUCCUGGUGUAGCGGUGAAAUGCGUAGAUAUCAGGAGGAACACCGGUGGCGAAGGCGGGUCUCUGGGCAGUAACUGACGCUGAGGAGCGAAAGCGUGGGGAGCGAACAGG